rnacentral:rRNA from 1 species
UAGGGAAUCUUCCGCAAUGGGCGAAAGCCUGACGGAGCAACGCCGCGUGAGUGAUGAAGGUCUUCGGAUCGUAAAACUCUGUUAUUAGGGAAGAACAAAUGUGUAAGUAACUAUGCACGUCUUGACGGUACCUAAUCAGAAAGCCACGGCUAACUACGUGCCAGCAGCCGCGGUAAUACGUAGGUGGCAAGCGUUAUCCGGAAUUAUUGGGCGUAAAGCGCGCGUAGGCGGUUUUUUAAGUCUGAUGUGAAAGCCCACGGCUCAACCGUGGAGGGUCAUUGGAAACAGGAAGACAUGAGUGCAGAGGAAAGUGGAAUUCCAUGUGUAGCGGUGAAAUGCGCAGAGAUAUGGAGGAACACCAGUGGCGAAGGCGACUUUCUGGUCUGUAACUGACGCUGAUGUGCGAAAGCGUGGGGAUCAAACAGG